GAUGAAGAACGCAGUGAAAUGCGAUAAGUGAUGCGAAACGCAACUUUUGUGAGUCAUCGAAUCUUUGAACGCAGAUUGCGCCCUUUGGUAUUCCGAGGGGCAUGCCUGUUCGAGCGUCAUUGCUGCCCUCAAGCACGGCUUGUGUGUUGGGCCUCCGCCCCCCGGCUCCCGGGGGGCGGGCCCGAAAGGCAGCGGCGGCACCGCGUCCGGUCCUCGAGCGUAUGGGGCUUCGUCACCCGCUCCGUAGGCCCGGCCGGCGCCCGCCGGCGACCCCCCUCAAUCUUUCCAGGUUGACCUCGGAUCAGGUAGGGAUACCCGCUGAACUUAAGCAUAUCAAUAAGCGGAGGA
rnacentral:misc_RNA from 1 species